rnacentral:rRNA from 1 species
CACGCCGUAAACGAUGUCAACUAGCUGUUGGUUAUAUGAAUAUAAUUAGUGGCGCAGCAAACGCGAUAAGUUGACCGCCUGGGGANCAACGCGAAGAACCUUACCUACCCUUGACAUACAGUGAACUUUGCAGAGAUGCAUUGGUGCCUUCGGGAACACUGAUACAGGUGC